UAUGGGGGGGGCAAGCGUUGUUCGGAAUUACUGGGCGUAAAGGGCGCGUAGGCGGUUUGUUAAGUUGGAUGUGAAAACUCUGGGCUCAACCCAGAGCCUGCAUCCAAUACUGACAGGCUAGAGUUCUGGAGGGGAUAGCGGAAUUCCUGGUGUAGCGGUGAAAUGCGUAGAUAUCAGGAGGAACACCGGUGGCGAAGGCGGUUCUCUGGGCAUGACCUGACGCUGAGGAGCGAAAGUGUGGGGAGCGAACAGG
rnacentral:rRNA from 1 species